rnacentral:pre_miRNA from 1 species
AAAAAGUGUAGUUUUGCACUAUUUAUGUCUAACAUUUGACCAUUCGUCUUAUUUAAAUUUUUUUAAUAAUUAGUAUUUUUAUUGUUAUUAGAUGAUAAAACAUGAAUAGUACUUUAUAUGGGACUAAUUUUUUUCAAUUUUUUCAUAAUUUUUUCAAAUAAGACGGACGGUCAAACGUUGGACACGGAUACCCACGGCUGCACUUAUU